rnacentral:rRNA from 1 species
AGAGUUUGAUCCUGGCUCAGAACGAACGCUGGCGGCAGGCUUAACACAUGCAAGUCGAGCGCCCCGCAAGGGGAGCGGCAGACGGGUGAGUAACGCGUGGGAACAUACCCUCCGGUUCGGAAUAGCUCAGGGAAACUUGGAUUAAUACCGGAUACGGCCUAGCGGCGAAAGAUUCAUCGCCGGAGGAUUGGCCCGCGUCUGAUUAGCUAGUUGGUGGGGUAAUGGCCCACCAAGGCGACGAUCAGUAGCUGGUCUGAGAGGAUGAUCAGCCACAUUGGGACUGAGACACGACCCAAACUCCUACGGGAGGCAGCAGUGGGGAAUAUUGGACAAUGGGCGCAAGCCUGAUCCAGCCAUGCCGCGUGAGUGAUGACGGCCUUAGGGUUGUAAAGCUCUUUCGCUAGGGACGAUAAUGACGGUACCUAGACAAGAAGCCCCGGCUAACUUCGUGCCAGCAGCCGCGGUAAUACGAAGGGGGCUAGCGUUGUUCGGAAUUACUGGGCGUAAAGCGCGUGUAGGCGGGCGUUUAAGUCAGGGGUGAAAUGCCAAGGCUCAACCUUGGAACUGCCUUUGAUACUGAAUGUCUUGAGUCCGGGAGAGGUGAGUGGAACUGCGAGUGUAGAGGUGAAAUUCGUAGAUAUUCGCAAGAACACCAGUGGCGAAGGCGGCUCACUGGCCCGGAACUGACGCUGAGACGCGAAAGCGUGGGGAGCAAACAGGAUUAGAUACCCUAGUAGUCC